ensembl:snRNA U6 U6 spliceosomal RNA
GUGCUCUCUUUGAUAGCACAUAUUCUAAAAUUAGAACAAUACAGAGAUUAGCCUGGCCCUGUGCAAGGCUGACAAGCAAAUUCAUGAAGCAUUCCAUAUUUAA